UACCUGGUCUUGACAUCCACAGAACUUUCCAGAGAUGGAUUGGUGCCUUCGGGAACUGUGAGACAGGUGCUGCAUGGCUGUCGUCAGCUCGUGUUGUGAAAUGUUGGGUUAAGUCCCGCAACGAGCGCAACCCUUAUCCUUUGUUGCCAGUGGUCCGGCCGGGAACUCAAAGGAGACUGCCAGUGAUAAACUGGAGGAAGGUGGGGAUGACGUCAAGUCAUCAUGGCCCUUACGACCAGGGCUACACACGUGCUACAAUGGCAUAUACAAAGAGAAGCGA
rnacentral:rRNA from 1 species